AUCCAGCUGACGAGUCCCAAAUGGGACGAGACGCCUGUCCUGGAU
rfam:Schistosoma mansoni strain Puerto Rico chromosome 1, complete genome